rnacentral:rRNA from 1 species
AAAGUGAAACCGCGAAUGGCUCAUUAAAUCAGCUAUGAUUUCUUAGAUCGUAUAUCCUUAUUUGGAUAACUGUAGUAAUUCUAGAGCUAAUACAUGCCUCGAAGUCUUGGCCUCACGGUGGGACGCACUUAUUAGAUCAAAAUCAACCGGGUUUCGGCCUGAGAUUUUGAUGACUCUGGAUAAUCUUUUCUACAGAUCGUAUGGCCUUGUGUCGACGACAGAUCUUUGAAAUGUCUGCCCUAUCAACUGUAGAUGGUAGGAUAUUUGCCUACCAUGGUGAUAACGGGUAACGGGGAAUCAGGGUUCGAUUCCGGAGAGGGAGCCUGAGAAAUAGCUACCACAUCCAAGGAAGGCAGCAGGCGCGCAAAUUACCCACUCCCGGCUCGGGGAGGUAGUGACAAAAAAUAACGAUACGGGACUCAUUCGAGGCCCCGUAAUCGGAAUGAGAACACUUUAAAUCCUUUAACGAGGAUCAAUUGGAGGGCAAGUCUGGUGCCAGCAGCCGCGGUAAUCCCAG